rnacentral:rRNA from 1 species
UACGGAGGGUGCGAGCGUUGUCCGGAAUCACUGGGCGUAAAGGGCGCGUAGGUGGCGCGGGCAGUCAACGGUGAAAGUUCGGGGCUCAACCCUGAAUCGGCCGUCGAUACUCCCGAGCUCGAGCACUGUAGAGGCAGAUGGAAUUCCGGGUGUAGCGGUGGAAUGCGUAGAGAUCCGGAAGAACACCGGUGGCGAAGGCGG